rnacentral:tRNA from 1 species
CUAAGUGGUAUAGCGUUCGGCUGUUAACCGACUGGUCGUAGGUUCUAAUCCUAUUUGGGGAG